UUAACACAUGCAAGUCGAGGGGCAGCAUGGUCUUAGCUUGCUAAGGCCGAUGGCGACCGGCGCACGGGUGAGUAACACGUAUCCAACCUGCCGUCUACUCUUGGACAGCCUUCUGAAAGGAAGAUUAAUACAAGAUGGCAUCAUGAGUCCGCAUGUUCACAUGAUUAAAGGUAUUCCGGUAGACGAUGGGGAUGCGUUCCAUUAGAUAGUAGGCGGGGUAACGGCCCACCUAGUCUUCGAUGGAUAGGGGUUCUGAGAGGAAGGUCCCCCACAUUGGAACUGAGACACGGUCCAAACUCCUACGGGAGGCAGCAGUGAGGAAUAUUGGUCAAUGGGCGAGAGCCUGAACCAGCCAAGUAGCGUGAAGGAUGACUGCCCUAUGGGUUGUAAACUUCUUUUAUAAAGGAAUAAAGUCGGGUAUGGAUACCCGUUUGCAUGUACUUUAUGAAUAAGGAUCGGCUAACUCCGUGCCAGCAGCCGCGGUAAUACGGAGGAUCCGAGCGUUAUCCGGAUUUAUUGGGUUUAAAGGGAGCGUAGAUGGAUGUUUAAGUCAGUUGUGAAAGUUUGCGGCUCAACCGUAAAAUUGCAGUUGAUACUGGAUAUCUUGAGUGCAGUUGAGGCAGGCGGAAUUCGUGGUGUAGCGGUGAAAUGCUUAGAUAUCACGAAGAACUCCGAUUGCGAAGGCAGCCUGCUAAGCUGCAACUGACAUUGAGGCUCGAAAGUGUGGGUAUCAAACAGGAUUAGAUACCCUGGUAGUCCACACGGUAAACGAUGAAUACUCGCUGUUUGCGAUAUACUGCAAGCGGCCAAGCGAAAGCGUUAAGUAUUCCACCUGGGGAGUACGCCGGCAACGGUGAAACUCAAAGGAAUUGACGGGGGCCCGCACAAGCGGAGGAACAUGUGGUUUAAUUCGAUGAUACGCGAGGAACCUUACCCGGGCUUAAAUUGCAGAUGAAUUACGGUGAAAGCCGUAAGCCGCAAGGCAUCUGUGAAGGUGCUGCAUGGUUGUCGUCAGCUCGUGCCGUGAGGUGUCGGCUUAAGUGCCAUAACGAGCGCAACCCUUGUUGUCAGUUACUAACAGGUUCCGCUGAGGACUCUGACAAGACUGCCAUCGUAAGAUGUGAGGAAGGUGGGGAUGACGUCAAAUCAGCACGGCCCUUACGUCCGGGGCUACACACGUGUUACAAUGGGGGGUACAGAGGGCCGCUACCACGCGAGUGGAUGCCAAUCCCCAAAACCUCUCUCAGUUCGGACUGGAGUCUGCAACCCGACUCCACGAAGCUGGAUUCGCUAGUAAUCGCGCAUCAGCCACGGCGCGGUGAAUACGUUCCCGGGCCUUGUACACACCGCCCGUCAAGCCGUGGGAGCCGGGGGUACCUGAAGUGCGUAACCGCGAGGAGCGCCCUAGGGUAAAACUGGUGACUGGGG
rnacentral:rRNA from 1 species